ensembl:lncRNA
UGGGGCUACAGAAAUUGUCACAUUUAAAAAAAAAAUCAUAUGAGAAACAGCUUUUUACAUUCUGAAAAGCAAUUUAUUCUACACCAUUUCAAAAAAUAAAUAGGAUUCUCCUUUUCUGUUUUAAGACAUCAAUGAAUCUGUCGCAUAAUGGGCUUUUGUAAACCGAUUAUCCUUGAUAAUCUCAUUAGCUGAAAUUAUUUUACUUUUCUAACAUGGUAGAUUUUUAAAUACCUUUUAUUUCAUAUCCCCUUGGGCACGUUGCAGUGAAAUUUACUAUUAAGCAAAAUAAUUAUCUAUCUCAAACCUUAAUGCUAAAAAGUAAAAAUAAAAUAAAAUAAUUACAAAUCUAAGGGCAGAUAUUAGGAUGGAGAAAGUACAAGAAAACCCGCAACCAAGAAAACGAAAGAAAUUCUCCCAAGCAGGCAAAUUGCUCCUCUCCGUUGACAAAUGAGUCACUUUUUUAUCCUACAAGUAUUAAGGAUGAGAAAUAUUAAGGUAGGUGAGGCAGAGCUUGGCGCUGGGGUGCGGGAGGACCAUGUCGCUCCCAGCUCCCACUCACCAGGCUGCAACCUCUGCUACAGCCCCGCGCCAUCAUGAGAUGUGAGUUGUUUCCAAAGAAGCUUAAAUCUGCGUUUUACGUGUGGAAGUUUGCAGCUGUAAUGGGAUUACGGUGUCGGCAGAGGGAGGGAAGUUUGCAGCUGUACUGGUUUGGGGGGGGGGUAGGAAGCAGCUGUUAAAAUAGAGGACUAAUGGUGAUUAAUUCUUAUUAUGUGUUUGAAGAUCGCACAAUGAGUUCAGGACCCAAACCUUCCCACAGGGAAUAAACUGAAGGAGGAGGAUUUAAAAAGAGGGAAAAUAGAAGGGGAAUUUUAAUGUACGUUUGGCCUAAGUGGCCUGGUCUUAAAUCACUUGAUUAAUAUUUAAGCAUAAUUUAAAUCAGUGUUAUUAAGACAAAAAAAUAUCUAGCUCGGGAAACCUGUAAUUAAUGGGUGUUUAUGCAGAUUGGGAGAUCACCUGCACUCUUUCAAAAGUGCAUGCACAGGGACCAGACAGGAUGAAGACCCCAUCCCGCAUCCCAAUCUGUUCACGAGCCAUGGUCCAGCACUGAAGCUCCAGCAGCAGGAACAUCCCAACCUGACCUCAGCUCAGUGUACAGCCCCGGGGGAACCUGCUCCGUUUCCCACAUUCAGGGCAAUUCACAUCAGAGCCAGGUUAUUUGCUGCAAUAUUGCGUCUGAGUCCUACAGCCAGCUUGCAGAGAAAUGCAAUGUGCUGGGUAUUCUGAGGCUUCCCCAGAGCACAGCAGGUAGAAGAUAUGAGAUUUCUAUUUAUAUACUGCAGCCUGGCCAAGGAAGUGACAAUUUAACGGCAAAGGUAAGGGGAUGGGGUGUGAAGGUGCCUGCAAAGGCAGUGGUGCAGGCAGUGCAAGGUCCCCUGAGCUCCUGGGGGGCAGUGACCCACUUCGGACCAUGACGGGUCCCUGAGAGUGCCCGACCCUCUGUCUUCUCUCAGCUCAUUGACUUUGUGGCUUGACAACAUAGCAUGGCUCCUGCAGUCCUUCGGCAGAUCAAGAAAAACAAAGAAAAAUUAAAGAUGGUGAACAGCAGCUAUUAGGAUGAUGCAGAACUCGAGUUGGGAUAUUUUCAGCCAUGAGUUUGGAAACAACACUCUGUCUACUGCACGGUCACUGUGCAGCAACAUACAGAAAUCGAUGGAGAAAAGGAAAAAAGGAAGAAGCCUGCACCACUUAGGAUAUUCAAGGCAGAAAUACUUGCAACUUUAAAAUUUAUGCUUUUUUUUUUUUUUUU